GGAACAGCGAGAGGGGAAGGGUUAAAGGAAUGGCAUGUGCUGAUCUGCCUGAUCAGCAGGUCAUGAGAGCAGAGCAAUUGGCCUGAGCUUCUCAGGACAACGGGAGCAGCAAAACAAAGGACAGCCUAAAACAAAGGAGAGAUCACACCCCAAAGGAGCCCAACCAGCUGAGUAAAUCAGCUGCUCCUCAUGACUCACAGGCAGGACCGAGUGAAGAGGCAGAAGAUCACAAUCAGGGGCCAGGUGACAGUUCUGGCCCUGUGGAUGCUGCUGGAGUCUGACCCGUGGGAGACAGACAAGGUCUGGAUAAUAA
rnacentral:lncRNA from 12 species